AAUUUGCUCAACUCAUCUGUGCGGAUGGUCGUUUAGAAUUUAUUGGUUUCGUCAUUUACUUACGUCUUACACUUGAUUAUUGAUUCUUACUGCAGCGUAUAAUUAAGUUUAGACUACCGAAAAUGUGAAAAAUUUAUUAUUCUUAAAGAAAAAAUGAUUAACGAACUAUAACCACUUAGUCAUGUAGGCAAGCAAUUCAAGCUCAGUAACGUUUCGAGAGCAAGCUGCUACCGAUCUCGUUCUGGAUAAACUGGAUAGUGAAUAACAACAAACGAUUCGGCUCGAUAAUAACUCAAUCAUAAUUCUUAUUCUAGUUCCAGGAAAAUAAUGCCGGAUGUUUGAAACGCCAGUUGCUUUUCCGUUUAUUUAUUUACCUUUUUCGUAAUUUCUCCUUCAUGCUCGUGGCCCAGAUUGCAGUCUAUAUAAACACGAUAUUCAACAAUCAUAUUAAACUACUGUACAGCAAUCUAGUGACGUCGUGGAAUUCAAAUAUUGACAAAUAUGACGUCAAUCGUUAGGUCAGAAAUAGAAUAAUAGUGUAACAGAUCCAGCGCGAACCAGUCAUCGUUCAACCGGAAAAAUACUCCAGUCGUUUUAGUCCUGGAUGAAGGAGAAAGCGAUAAAGUUCCAAGGAUACUGUGUGGAAACUACAAACAUAUAAACCCUCUUUACUAAAAUAUGCAUAGGAAUGUAUGCACUUCUGUUCAAGAUCCAUACUGCACCCAAUGGAGAAUUGUGAUCGUGGGCGAAGGAGAAAGGAGAAAUAAAGGGAAGUCUCAGUGGGAAAGUUUUACGAAGGAUUAUUAGUCCAGCUAGUGUUCACGUUACCAGCAGAAGCAAUUAUUCAAACAAUAGUUCAAGCCGCUAUUUCUCGAUUAGUUUUGCAGGCUAAAGUGAUUUUUAAAUGUUUUAAAGGCAAAUAAACCGGGUUUAUAUAGUAAAUAAAUGUUUUUUUAGAAAAA